rnacentral:miRNA from 1 species
GCUGGAUGCAAGGACUGGAUCC